rnacentral:lncRNA from 1 species
GAGAAGGCGGCAGCCAGCCGGGCUGACCCACCCGAGACGGCGGAGUCCCGGCGACCAGGGACGCUCCGGGGACACGGGGACCUCAGUGCAAACCCGGGACGCAGACGCUGUCCCCAGCGACACCCUGCCCACAGCCAAGACUUUUUAAAGUGAGUUCGCUUACCUUCCGAUUUCUACGGCCUCAACUCAGCAAUCAAAAGCAAUCACAGCAGAAUUAAACAAAAAUAAAAUCAGCGGCAGCCGGUUGACCAAUACAGUGCUGCAGAAAGGAAGAAAAGAAAAGAAGGGAAAAGAAGAGAAGAGAAAAGACAGACAGACAGAAAGGAAAUUAAAGGUUAAAAAAAAAAAAAAAAAGACUCUACUGCCCAGCCUUCUGCAGGAUCUUGUCGUUGAAAUGCAGACCUAUCCCAGUGCGGGGGAAUUAUACGAAGCCCUAAAUUUGGAGAUUAUGGAGUAUCCAACUGAAGGUAUAUUGGGAGAAAGCAGCUGAACAGCACAAGACGAGGUCAGUUCUGUCUUCUUUCCUUUCCAAGCUGACACCUGGUACUCAAAAUUAAACACAAGAAUAUGCUGCCUCCUGGGAAUGAUGCCAGCACCCGGGCAAACAACCACUGAGGCCCAUUACUUACAAAGUGAAGCACAACUCUUCACACAGCAAAACAGGCAGGAAACACCAUUUUAGUAUUCGGGCAUGAAGAAUAGGCAGACGGUCUUUUCUUUUGCAUCACCUUUAAUGGCUAGAUGAAACAUUUCGAGUCUGAAGCUGCAGGACGUGUAUUCUAAUCCCGAUUCUGUGACUUCUAUCUCUAGUGUCCUCAUUAUUUUACAGACAUCCUACUCACACAUAACAGAUUCUCAAACUUCCUCCACUCACCCACACUCACUUCUCCAUGUGAGAUUCUUGAUUCAACCCAGGGCAUAUGGAUAAAUAAAAUAGGUUAUGUAAACCAAAUGUUGUUUGCUAGUAUCCCAAAGAAAAUGAUAACUAUUCUUUGAAAUACAUAUAACUGUGCCUUUCAUGGGGAUGCUAAUAUUCAGACACUGGACACCUCUUGCUGUCCACAGUGUCAAAGACACUCCCAUUAGUCAGAUUUAAUCACUAAAUUACAGUUUUCUAAGUAGCAUGAGAAUUUCAGUUUGAGAUAUACUAUGCCUACAUUACUAAUGUAGUGCUUAUUAGUUAUAAACAUAAAUGCAUUCAGACAUUAAGAAAAUCUAUAAGGGUAAUAAAAAAAAAACAACCCUCUAACAUCUACUCGGAAAGAUGUAGUAGUCUUAAAAGAGUCCACCUUUUCAGAAAGUUUUGAAAGUUAUCUGUACGUUGUUGUUGUUUUGUUGUUGUUGUUGUUGUUGUUGCUUAUACCUCUCUUGUGUCACCCAUGCCUUUCUUCGCCGUCUACAUUUAAGUAUCUCCUCCAGACCACAGAAGGUCUUUACUCUGAAAUAACCCUUUAGACUCUAAUCCCAAAGCUACUGUGCAGAAAGCAAGGAAGCCCUACCCUUCCAGUCUCCAUGUGAAUGUGUUAAGAGAGAUUUUAGGGAUGGCAAAGCCAGUCAACAAGGAACGAUUGAACUCAAGUCCUCUGAUAUUGCUGUGGUGUGUGGAAGGCCUGCCUCUGAUCCCAGUGCUGCGGUGUUUGCUUAAGAAGAAAGACUGUGGCUGACCAGACACAGUACAGAUGAAAUGCCGUCAAACAACUCCUUGACCUCUGAAACAAUAGGUGGGGCCCAUUUGAAUCGUAAAACCAACAUAGUCAACAAUUAAACACGGUUGUAACAAUGAGGGUGUCUCCAUAUUGGGCCACCAAAAGUGCUUGAAAGAACAGAAUUGCUUUACAAUAAACUGGCGAGGAGGUGGGUGCUCCACACCUUUACGGACAGAUGAAGACACUGACUGUAGCCAUGACAGACAAAGCUCCAGGGACAUGUGCUGCUCUCCCUUUUCCUCAGCAAUCUCUUCCAGCUCAAGCCAUUAAGGGACCCAUUCAAAAGCAGGGCGUGCUAGAUUUCCCUCCACUGAGCCACAGGGCUCUCUUUUUACCACUAGCUGACCAAGGAGCCACACAAUUUUGGUAGUGUGGUGGCUUCUGGUCCCACCUCCUACCCCAGGACUCUGAUCUCUAGUCUCUCGCUAUCCUGCACAGAACUAGCCCUGUGAGCUGUCUCUGCUGAGGUGACUCGCUGGCCACGUGAUCAACUCUGACUCAAUACUGAAGAAAAGAGGGAACUUAGAAGCCAGUUUGUUUUUUAGCUUAAGGAAUUCUCUUUGAUUUUUCUAGUUUUGCCAUGGUGUAGAACUACUAACAGAGCCAGAGGAAGAGGGCAGCUAGUUACCCCUCUUCUUCUUCUUCCUAUAGCGCUUUAAGCCUUGGGUGGAAGUAUACUCCCACUAGGAAAAGGAUUUGUGUAGUGGUUUACAAAGCCUUUCGAUGCUGAGGCUUGCCAAGGUAGAUAUACUUUCAAUUUGUCCAAUUGUUUUAAUUAGAAUUAGUUAGCAUUAAGUGAAAAGGGUUUACAAGUUCAAUGUCAAUAUUAAUAUAACUUCACACACAUGGGCAUGUGUAUGUGCUUGUGAGCACGUAUGCAUGCCAGUGUCUAUGUAGCAAAAGGUUUUUUUAAAAGAUUUUUUCCUUUUAUUGGAUUUUUUAAAUUUACAUUUCAAAUGUUAUCCCCUUUCUCCAGUCUCCCCUCUAGAAAACCCUAUUCCAUCCCCCCUUCCCCUGCCUUUAUGAGGGUGCUCCCCCACCCACCUACUCACUCCCACCUUCCCACCCUGGCAUUCCCCUACACUGGGGUAUCGAACCCCCCCAGGCCCAAGGGCCGCUCCUCCCACUGAUGUCCAAUCAGGCCAUCCUCUGCCACAUAAGAGGCAGGAGCCAUGGGUCACUCCAUGUGUACUCUUUGGUUGGUGGUCCAGUCCCCGGGAGCUCUGGGCGGGGUGGGGGUGAGGGGGGCUGGCCAGUCGACACUGUUGUAGCAAAAGUUUUAAUCAAAGAGAUUCCAAAAUUUACUUUAAAAAAAUACAAAAACGGGUGCUGUGUUACCAAUGCUUUUAAGUAUAUUUCAAGUCGUAAAAGAAGUAAGUGGACUCAAAUUGUUCUGAGAGUAAAAACAAAGAACAGGAACCGUAGCCAUAACGGGUGGCUCCAGCAAUGAGCACUUGCUCACUGUGAGGAGACAAUGCUCUAUUUUGACACAAAACUAUCGAGGAAACCCCCCCCCCCAAAUCUAAUAUGGGAUCAAUAUGGUGGUGUUAUUUUGUUAUGGCCACUUGAUACCUAAGGGAGUGAAAAUGAGAGAUGAGCAGUGAGUCACUUAGACAGUGGAUUUGCCAGUUAGACAGGUAAGAUGGCUCCUGACUGGAGUCCCAAACCUCCUCUCACUGUCUCCCCGUACAGUUAUCUGAAUCUAUGCUGCUCAGCAGGGAGGCUGCCAGCUGCAUGUGGCUAUUUGAAUAGAAACAUUAAUUAAGAUGAAAAUGAGUUUCUCAGUCCCACUAGCCACAUGCGGCCAGUGCCUACUGUUAAAGACCCUUAUCUGCCACGCAGCUACAACAUGGUCCUGUCUCUGCGGUAGCCCUAUUGGUCAGAAUGAACUGAGAACUGGCCAGAAUGGGUUUCUUAGCCGCACACACCAGCGACUAAUUAAGGGAGUGGAUUGAUUAGAUUCAACAAAAAUGUUAGCAUGGGGCUGGGGAGAUGGCUCAGAUUUUCUGGACCAGUGUUAGGACCUCGGGUUAGGGCCUCAGGACCAGUGUAGACGCUGGGCAGGGACAUGACACUAGUCACCUGUUACCCUAGGCCUGGUGGGAGGAGAGUUCACAAGGACAGACAGAUCCUAGGGCUUAUCUGGCUGUCUAAAUGGCAAGCUGCUGAUUCAAUGAGAGAACCUGCCCAUAAACAAACAAAUGAAGAAAUAAGUAAACAAAUAAAUGCCGCAAAGGAAGACACCUCGCGUGUACUUCUGGCUUCUGUGUGUGAGUGUGUGCGCGUGCACACAAUGAAUCACACCUGCACAAACAUAUAUAUGUGCAAGUACCGUAUACAUGCAGCUAUUUUUUUUAAAUUUAUUUUUCAAUUCUUCCUCAAAAUUUAAUCCAUUUUCCUCACCUCCUCAGGAUAAGGUGAGGAUUCAAAAAACAUCCCAGAUACCCUGUUUCAGAGAGACCAGGUAGAAAUGUGACCCUAGCUGUGUCUGCAUCUAUCAUGUGAGAAACAGUUGGUGCACUGAGAAAAGACAGGAUUAAGACUCAGGGAAGGGUAAUGCGGGAGGUCCCAGAUCUAGAUCCCUACAUCUGUGACCUGGGAACAUGAAGUGAUCUACUUGAGACUUGAUUUUACUUCUAGGUAAGACAACGUGAUCUUACACAUCUGUGUAAGAUGCUCUUAGGCUGGGGAUCCUAAGAAUCAAAUAAAUAGUAAGGAACAUGUGUCAUUGCUGCUCAGAUGAGAACGUGCCUGGGGAGGUAGAUAAAUAUAUAUAUAUGAAAAUGAAGACAGUGGGAAGAGAGUCCAGGUGCUAGAAGUGCUUAAACAGUGCCUACACAGUUAUACGCUCACAGGGAAGAGAUGCUGGAACAGUGCCCACACAUUUACACACUCACAGGGCAGAGGUGCUUACAAUUCAUUAUCAUAGAACAUCCCUAGCUAAAAGGCAUUUGGCAGGUUGCAAUACAAAACACAGCUUCUAAGGGUAGCCAUGAGUAUUAAAUGUCUACACCCUUUAAAACAACUGUAUCUAGAACUUCUUUUUUCUUCCAAAAGACCAUUACUACACUUGUCUUCCCAGUGCUGUUUUCACAGAACUAAAAAGCAGAUUCUCGGGGCUUAUUCUUGAAUGCUCUAAGGCGACACAUCUCAUGUUAAGUUCAGAAAUCUGUGCUUUGAAACUGUAUCCCUGUUUGGAUGUGUGAGGUCCAGGGAUCACGGUUUGAAACGUAAUAUAUGAGACAUCCAAGAUGCUUGAAACAGCAAAGUCCACUGUGAGUCUACAUCUGCAGGAACUCUAUCAACCUUACUUCUGUGAGAACCAACCAAGAACUCACGAGAGUGGGUAAGAGAGCCUGACCCCCUCCGAGGUAGAGGACUCAUGGGUUUAAGGACAACCUCAGCUCCAUAGCAAAAUCGAGACCACACUGAUGUACACAAGAUCCUGUCUCAAAACACUAAAACAAAAUUUUAAAAAAUAUUGAUCAUCUUAAACACCUAAGAUAUAGAUAGAUGUUGCUAUUUUACUCAUUUUUCCCCAUAGGGAACAUUAAUUGGGUUUGUCAUCUCAACUAUCACCUUGGCAGGAGGAGUCAGGGCACAACUUAACCAAGAGCAUUUCCUUCACCACAGGUACUGGGCCGAGCUGAUAAACGAAUGAAAGACCAUUCACGGUAGACACAGUUUGGAGAUGGUGUCAACUCAUGCACUAGAAGUUACUGAAGAGAUCUGUUUGCUAAUGGCUUUCUUUAGGUUUUCUUUGGGACAGUGAUAAGAGAAAGACUCGAAUUUGAACACCAGAGAUUCUUUCUG